rnacentral:rRNA from 1 species
UACGGAGGGAGCUAGCGUUGUUCGGAAUUACUGGGCGUAAAGCGCACGUAGGCGGCUUUGUAAGUUAGAGGUGAAAGCCCGGGGCUCAACCCCGGAAUUGCCUUUAAGACUGCAUCGCUUGAAUCCAGGAGAGGUGAGUGGAAUUCCGAGUGUAGAGGUGAAAUUCGUAGAUAUUCGCAAGAACACCAGUGGCGAAGGCGGCUCACUGGCCCGAUACUGACGCUGAGGCACGAAAGCGUGGGGAGCAAACAGGG